UGUUCCCUUUGUGCCAUUGAGGAGAGUCUGCACUUCCAGUAACUCCUGGAAACCCAGUGAAAAAAGCACUUCAUGAAUGACCCUCUCCCUGAUGGCACCUCUUCUCGUCAGCAUCUUCUAACCUUUCUGAUGUUGGUUCGCUCGCAGUGAAAACCAGAUGGGGACACGGUUUUACACUGUAACAGUAAAUGAUGAGCUCGGCUUUAAAAAGGAUUUCAAGCCCUGAAGAUGUUUGGUGUAAAACUGAUGAACAGACGAGAGACUUCUGUCACAUUUAAAUGCAGGCUCCAGGGUGGUCCACAGAACAUGGUCAGUGCUGCAGAGGAGCUCCUGAAGACCAAAUGUGUGGGAGUUUGGUGUGAGGAUGCUAGACUGCCACUGGAAACUCCUGCAUUUGUCAAAUGGCGUCCAUGGUGCAGGUGUUGGGACUGGCACAUCAAGGUGCUGAAUGGCAAGAUGACUCAUCGGGUGAUGCUUUUACUACAUCUUCACACAACUUAAUCUAUGGGUGCACUGGCCCUGAAAUGUCCACUGCGAGCAGACUUGCCUGCACUGCAUGUCAGACUUCACUCAGACUGACUUGGUGCAGCUUUAAUCUACAAAGGAGCAGAGACUGGAACUUCCUGAACCUCCCACACAGGAGCUGCCAUGUUCUUAUGCCAGGUGGCAAUGGAGUUUUUAGCUUUCGUGUUGCGCACAAGGUGUCUUCUGGUAUCAGGAAGGUGACAAACCAGGUGGAAGUGGCUAAUCUCCUCAGCCAGGAGACGAGGUUUGGAGCAUAACAUUUAGCACUUACUUCCAACUAUUCAGUUGGGUUUAAGCACUUACCAAGUCCUCUUUGAUUAGGAUUAGGCUCUUCAUUGUCCUCAUUUAGGACUAAAGCACUGUAUAUUACUCUAGGUUGGGUUUAGAUAAUCUAAGACUCUUCCUUGUUUCAGUAUAGCACUUACCAAGUCCUCUUUGAUUAGGAUUAGGCUCUCAUUCCUCUUUGAUUAGGAUUUAAGGCACUUAACCAAGUCCCAAGGAUUUGGCUCUCCAGACCCCUCCUUGGUUGGUUUUAAGGAACACCAGAUUCCUCCUCGGUUCGUCACACUGCUGCCAAAGGACACAUUGUGUGAAACAUCAGCAGCUAUAAAACUACUUUGACACCUCCAGAAAGGACCAUGCUAGAAGACUUGUCUCCAAAGCUUGUUGGGAUCAUUUUCUUGGCCAUGUUACUGAUGACUGGACUGUCCAUGUUUUGACUAAUAAAAUUUUACACC